CGGACCUCAGAUCAGACAAGACCACCCGCUGAAUUUAAGCAUAUCACUAAGCGGAGGAGAAGAAACUAACAAGGAUUUCCCUAGUAACGGCGAGCGAACCGGAAAUAGCCCAGCUUGGAAAAUCUA
rnacentral:rRNA from 1 species